CUGGGUCUGGGGUCCGUAUCUCUGUUUCACACUUUCUACAUCAUUAAACCUGUGGACAAAGAGUAAUGGUCUUCAGAGUCUUGAUGGAAGAAAAGUGUUGAACCUUGCUGCUGGUUCCUCUUCUGUGCAGUGUGGAGAGGGAAAGACAGUACACACUCGUUUUACGACAAGACGCUGUCAAGAAGCCAAAUAAAACUGAUGCUGACUUGGUGUGGAUAUACAUGGUCAACUGGAACAUUGGAGACAACGUGAAGAUCGACCUCAUCAGCAACACUGGAGAAGAACAGAUGCUGUUUAAAAAACAAGAUCAUGUUAAAUAAUCAUUGUAACUUUUCUGUGGAAUAAAUUAAAAAAGAGCAUUAUUACAUUUUAUAUAUUUGAUAUCAUUUUAUGUUAGUUAAAAAUUUUGUGUUUUUAUUUAAUUAAAAAUAUG
ensembl:lncRNA